rnacentral:lncRNA from 1 species
CUGCUGGUGGAGGGUGCUGAAGAAGAAAUUUAAGUACCUUUGUGGGUUUUUCACCUCAACCCCUGUUUAACAUUGCUCACAAUCUCUCCUUUCAUAUCUAAUGCUUUCAGGGCAGGAUGGGGCGGAUUGGACCUCCUGGCUGUAAGGGUGACCCAGGCGAAAGGGGUCCUGAUGGCUACCCAGGAAGCCCUGGUGCUAAAGGGUCACCGGGAGAGGAAGGGAUCAAGGGAGAUCCUGGCCGGCCUGGCAAACAUGGCCCACCUGGUCCCGAUGGGGAAGUCGGAAGUUCUGUAUGUAUAACUUUGUGACUUUUCUGAAAUAAUUAAAUUCUUUGAACUUCAGAGCCACACGCUGACUGUAGUGCAUCAGUAACAUGAUUUGAAAAUGCAGAUAUGAUAUAUCUAUCUAUGUUCCUUUUAUAGCAACUGUAAAAAGU